GAGUUUGAUCAUGGCUCAGAUUGAACGCUGGCGGCAGGCCUAACACAUGCAAGUCGAGCGGAUGACGGGAGCUUGCUCCUUGAUUCAGCGGCGGACGGGUGAGUAAUGCCUAGGAAUCUGCCUGGUAGUGGGGGACAACGUUUCGAAAGGAACGCUAAUACCGCAUACGUCCUACGGGAGAAAGCAGGGGACCUUCGGGCCUUGCGCUAUCAGAUGAGCCUAGGUCGGAUUAGCUAGUUGGUGGGGUAAUGGCUCACCAAGGCGACGAUCCGUAACUGGUCUGAGAGGAUGAUCAGUCACACUGGAACUGAGACACGGUCCAGACUCCUACGGGAGGCAGCAGUGGGGAAUAUUGGACAAUGGGCGAAAGCCUGAUCCAGCCAUGCCGCGUGUGUGAAGAAGGUCUUCGGAUUGUAAAGCACUUUAAGUUGGGUAGGAAGGGCAGUAAGUUAAUAACCUUGACUGUUUUGACGUUACCGACUAGAAUAAGCACCGGCUAACUCU
rnacentral:rRNA from 1 species